GUGGCGAACGGGUGAGUAACACGUGGGUAAUCUGCCCUGCACUCUGGGAUAAGCCUUGGAAACGAGGUCUAAUACCGGAUAUGACACACGAAGGCAUCUUCUGUGUGUGGAAAGUUCCGGCGGUGCAGGAUGAGCCCGCGGCCUAUCAGCUUGUUGGUGGGGUAGUGGCCUACCAAGGCGACGACGGGUAGCCGGCCUGAGAGGGUGACCGGCCACACUGGGACUGAGACACGGCCCAGACUCCUACGGGAGGCAGCAGUGGGGAAUCUUGCGCAAUGGGCGAAAGCCUGACGCAGCAACGCCGCGUGGGGGAUGACGGCCUUCGGGUUGUAAACCUCUUUCGACAGGGACGAAGCUUUCGGGUGACGGUACCUGUAGAAGAAGCACCGGCUAACUACGUGCCAGCAGCCGCGGUAAUACGUAGGGUGCGAGCGUUGUCCGGAUUUAUUGGGCGUAAAGAGCUCGUAGGCGGUUUGUCGCGUCGGCCGUGAAAACCUGCAGCUUAACUGUGGGCGUGCGGUCGAUACGGGCAGACUUGAGUUCGGCAGGGGAGACUGGAAUUCCUGGUGUAGCGGUGAAAUGCGCAGAUAUCAGGAGGAACACCGGUGGCGAAGGCGGGUCUCUGGGCCGAUACUGACGCUGAGGAGCGAAAGCAUGGGGAGCGAACAGGAUUAGAUACC
rnacentral:rRNA from 1 species